AGAGCUGUCUGGAACUCGAGAAUCAUGGCACCACAGACGUGAAAUGGCAUCUGUCAUCUUUAGCGCCACCUUAUGUCAAGGGAGUUGAUGAAAGUGGAGAUGUUUUUAGAGCUACCUAUGCAGCAUUCAGAUGUUCUCCUAUUUCUGGUCUGCUGGAAAGCCAUGGGAUCCAAAAAGUCUCCAUCACAUUUUUGCCCAGAGGUAGGGGGGAUUAUGCCCAGUUUUGGGAUGUUGAAUGUCACCCUCUUAAGGAGCCUCACAUGAAACACACGUUGAGAUUCCAACUCUCUGGACAAGCAGCUUGAUGUGACUGCUCGUGGAGUUUAUGCCCCAGAGGAUGUGUACAGGUUCCUGCCGACUAGUGUGGGGGAAUCACGGACACUUAAAGUCAAUCUGCGAAAUAAUUCUUUUAUUACACACUCACUGAAGUUUUUGAGUCCCAGAGAGCCAU
rnacentral:sRNA from 1 species